rnacentral:rRNA from 1 species
UUCCGGUUGAUCCUGCCGGAGGCCACUGCUAUUGGGAUCCGACUAAGCCAUGCGAGUCGAGAGGGUUCGGCCCUCGGCAGACUGCUCAGUAACACGUGGAUAACCUAACCUUAGGUGGAAGAUAACCUCGGGAAACUGGGAAUAAUAUUCCAUAGAUCUAGGAUGCUGGAAUGCAUCUAGAUUGAAAGUUCCGACGCCUAAGGAUGGGUCUGCGGACUAUCAGGUUGUAGUCAGGGUAAAGACCUGACUAGCCUACGACGGAUAUGGGUUGUGAGAGCAAUAGCCCAGAGACGAUAUCUGAGACACGAUAUCGGGCCCUACGGGGCGCAGCAGGCGCGAAAUCUUCACAAUGUGCGAAAGCACGAUGAGGGGAUCCCAAGUGCUGGCACGUAAGUGUCAGCUGUUUCUUAGUCUAAAAAACUGAGAGAGUAAGGGCUGGGUAAGACGGGUGCCAGCCGCCGCGGUAAUACCUGCAGCUCAAGUGGUGGCCGCUAUUAUUGGGCCUAAAACGUCCGUAGCCUGUUUAGUAAAUGCUUGGGUAAAUUGUGUAGCUUAACUAUACGGAUACCGGGUAGACUGCUAAACUUGGGACCGGGAGAGGCUAGAGGUACUCCUGGGGUAGAGGUGAAAUUCUGUAAUCCUAGGGGGACCACCAGCGGCGAAGGCGUCUAGCUAGAACGGGUCUGACGGUGAGGGACGAAGCCCUGGGGCGCAAACCGGAUUAGAUACCCGGGUAGUCCAGGGUGUAAACGCUGCUUGCUUGAUGUUAGUUGGGCUCCGAGCCCAACUAGUGUCGGAGAGAAGUUGUUAAGCAAGCUGCCUGGGAAGUACGGUCGCAAGACUGAAACUUAAAGGAAUUGGCGGGGGAGCACAGCAACGGGGUGGAGCGUGGCGGUUUAUUGGAAUCAACGCCGGUAAUCUC